rnacentral:lncRNA from 1 species
GAGGCUUUCUGAAGAGCGGUGCUCAGGAGCUGUGAUGGUGCUGCAGGCUGUGGGAAAGCAUUAGAUCAGCGGAAUAUUUCCUCUCUGGUUUUUUUCCCUUUCAGCUGGUGGGCUUUCCCCCUGAAGUAACUAGCAUUUAAACAAGGCUCCUUGGUUAGUAACGGCAUCACAGCGGGGCUGGCAGCACCCGUGGGUGGAGAAGUCUGGGUGAAAGGGAAAGAGAGGAAGAAUCUCUGGGAAGAGAGAGGAGAAGGCCUAGGAAUAAAUAGCCCAAAAACCGCCUCUCGCUCUUCCAAGCCGCUCCGGUCUGAGAGCCACGCCCUCAAACAAUGGACUAUUGAGGUAGUUUCGCCCACCGCCUGACAAGUGGGUGAGUGAGGAAAAGAUAACAAACGUGAGACCAGAAACAGUUCAUAGCUUUACCUGCUCAGUGACUUCAAAGAGGGCUCUGCCUGGGUGGGGCCAGGAGCCUCAUCCUGAGUUCCCACUGGCAUGGGGAAACUCACACAUUGUGCCUUUGUAGAGGUCUCUACUGUUUUUAUCUCAGUAUAACUUUUUGGAGAAAAUCGAGCUUGGCCAGAGGAGUCCCUAUCGGCUCUCUUGACCUUUCAAACAUGUCUUCCAUGACCUUUAACUAAGCAUUCACAAAAAUAUGUUUACCAUCUUUCCUUCUUACAGUGUGACCUGAAGCUGAGCAUGCUCAGAAAAGAGCUCAUUAAUUGAGCACACUCCUGUCUCAGAACUCACUAGGGAGACCAGGCUGGCCUUGAACUCAGAGAUCCACCUGCCUCUGCCUCCAAAGUGGUGGGAGUAAAGGCAUGCGCCACCACUGGCCAACUAUAAGGCUCCUUUUUAGGAACACACAUGGACCUCCUGAAUAAAAGAACCCAUUCCCUUUGUCAGGGGUGGGAGUGAGCAUUGUCUUGAAAUAAUAUGCACGCUUCUCUUAAAUGUAGGAAGUAAUAAGUCUCCUCUUCAUUUCUCAGCCCUGUUUGGCUUGAGCUUUUUGUCACCAACAGAUAAACCCAUUCCAUUCCGUUACAAUUGGGAGAUAGAGCAGUGAGUGGCAGCCAUUCACCAAGAAAGGAAAAGCUCUCAGAUGGAACAGCUGCUACAAGGCUCAGGUCUCACACAUCCGUGAGGUCAUUAGCCAGGUUUACAGGGGAUAAACCAGGAAGUGAACUGUGGUCUAUUCAUGAUCACGGUCUGUGUAUCCCCUGAGAAGGAAGGGUAACAGCAAGCUGUUCUUUCGGCUUAAGAUGUGAGUGAUGGGGACGUAAGAAGAAGUAUUAACCACUUAUUAAGUUUCUCCGUCACACAUGGCAUUUUCAUCCAAUGAAAUCAUCUAACAACAUUAAACAAAGUAAUGCCCCUGUGAGUAAGCAUGAGUACUGAUCACAUAUUCCAGCCUGUCUUUCUGGCUUAUUUUAUUUUUGCUUUGUGUUUUGGUUUUUGUUCUAUUCAAGACAGGUACUUGCUGUGCAGCCUGUCCUAAACUAGAGAUCCUCCUGCCUUGGCUUCAUUGAUGUGUGUUAACACAUUUGUCUUUAGGACUUACCUCUUUUUAAAUGUAUGUGUAUAUAUGUCCCCAGUCUUGAGCAGGCUGGCUCAGACCUGUUCUGCCGCUAUGAGCUAGCCCACCUGGGGUGGAGUCUUCCGACCUAGAUAGGUCUAUUGUUCUGCCACCUCGCUGAGAGGCUGGACCUGCUUUCUGAAGCAUCUUGAAUAAGC